GAUGAACGCUAGCGGCAGGCCUAACACAUGCAAGUCGAGGGGUAACGUGAGUGCUUGCACUUGACGACGACCGGCGCACGGGUGCGUAACGCGUAUACAAUCUACCUUUUGCUGAGGGAUAGCCCAGAGAAAUUUGGAUUAAUACCUCAUAGUAUCUACAGACGGCAUUGUUUAUAGAUUAAAGGUAACGGCAAAAGAUGAGUAUGCGUCCUAUUAGCUAGAUGGUGUGGUAACGGCACACCAUGGCGACGAUAGGUAGGGGCCCUGAGAGGGGGAUCCCCCACACUGGUACUGAGACACGGACCAGACUCCUACGGGAGGCAGCAGUGAGGAAUAUUGGUCAAUGGACGCAAGUCUGAACCAGCCAUGCCGCGUGCAGGAAGACUGCCCUAUGGGUUGUAAACUGCUUUUAUACAGGAAGAAACACCUCUACGUGUAGGGGCUUGACGGUACUGUAAGAAUAAGGAUCGGCUAACUCCG
rnacentral:rRNA from 1 species